rnacentral:lncRNA from 1 species
GGUCUUGUUAUUUUUGUUAGUUUAUUGCCUCGCAUAUGUUCAUUAUUAGUUGAUUGGUUGUUUUCCGGUGUUUAAGAUUGUUGGUUUUGUUUUAGGGAUCAAUUUUUUUUUUAAGUUUCUACUUCGCUGAAUACUUUUGGUGGCUUUGGUUUUGGAUCUAGGGCUUGCGAGUAUUUGGGCAUUCACAUUUAUUUUUUACUGUUUCUAAAAUUUCUAUGAUUUUUAUAUAUUUGGCAGGCAAGCGAUGAGGAAAUGAUAACACUGAUAGAAUUUUUAAAACUCAUGCACCAAAUCUAAUUAACGGUAAAAAAAGUCAGUUAUCUAAAUGAGAAGCAAAAAUUUUGAAAUUGUACUGGGCGUGUGGCGUAAUAACUAGCUUAUUCCCAUAUUCUCUCCUAUUUUUCCUUUAUUUCUAACGUUCUUUUCUCCUUUAUUAGCUACUCUUUUUCCCUUCUUUACAAAUAUUUUUCCUUCUCUCUUGUUUUUUCUUCUCUCAGCCUCUUUUCUGUGUUUUCUUCAAUCUAUGGCUCUCCCAUUCAUUCGCCGUCUCUCUCUCUCUCUAUAUAUACCCUUUCAAUUUUUUCCUCAAAUUUUUUAGCUUUGGGUAACCAAAUUCCGUUUUUUGUUUUUUUGCUAUUUCUCUUUUUCUUUUUUUAAUUUUUGAAACCCUACAUCAUCGAAGAUUGAUUUUAAGUAUGAAUAUAAUUAAACUGUCUCUUUCCUCUUUAUCUCUGUUUUUAGUUUCAAAUAUAUGCAUAUCUUUUACUAAUAUUUUCAGUGUGUUUUUUUUCAGGGAUUUCGGUUUUUUAACUAUUAGUUUUUUAACAAUGUUAGUAAGUUCAUGUUUUAUUAUCUAUUAAAUAUAUAUAAAGCUAAUGGACCGUCGAUUGUAAUGGUUAAAAAAGAAAAUCGAACCGGACAGAAAUCGAAGAGAAACUGAAACUAAAAAGCAGCGAAUCGAACAAAAAAAUAGACCUAAAAAGGGACAGACUACAGUAAAAAACAAAAUUAAACUGAACCAAACCACACUCAACUAACCCAAAACAGAGGCUCACUAGCCCAAGCUGAUUGACUACAGCCGUGAACACAAGGCCGCAACGGCAACGACAAAAGAAAUACAGAAACGAACCAAAAACCCCCAAACCCACAUAGCUAUAUACACCAGACAACAAAGCAGAGAUGAAAAAUGAAGACAAUUGUUGAAAUUAAGAUUCAAAGCUGAAAUCAAUGAUGAAGCAGUGUUUACGAAAAUUAAAAUAAAUAAAUGAAAAAAAAGGAACGCCAGACUUCGGGUUUCCCAUUCCCACGGAAGUAGGACGAAACAGCGGGUUCUACACUUGAAAAGGAAAUAGCAUAAAAUAAGCACACUGAAAUAGAAUUAAAAAAAGCAUCCAUCUGAAACUACAAAAUAGAAAUGAAAAGGCAAUGACAAAAAAAAAUGACAGUUCAUGUGAAUCAUACCUCAAAAUCAGUCUAAGAUGAAGAAAGGGAUUGCAAAAAUCACAAAAUAAACUGAAACGACAGACAAAACUUUGGGUCCGCUCUCACGGAAACUAACUUGCUACCGUAGGGUGUGUUUUUUUGAGAUUUGGUCUCCCAAACCAAGAGAAAAAAAAAGAGGAGAAAAUUGAGAUGAGAGUCUGUUCUGAAAGAAGAAUAAAGGGAGGAAGGGAGAAAAAGAAACAAAAUGGCAAGCAGACGGAGAGGGAGAGAUAAACGGCUAAUAUAUGGGGGUAAGGGAUAGAUGGAAGACAGAGAGAUAAUAAAUAAGGGUAGGUGAUUGAAGACAGGGAUAAACGACAAUAAAUGGGAUAGGUAUUUUUGCAGGCCUUUGAUUUCCUUUGGGCUUGUAUCGUUUUUGGGUCUUUAUUUUUGUCCGGUUGGUUAAUGUGUUUUUACAUUUUAAUAAUAGCCUAGUACAUUUCUUUAAAAAAAAAACCCUUAACCAACCCCGGGAUAUCCUUGGAAUGGGAUAUCCCCGAACGGAUACUCCUGGAAUAGGAUAUCCCAUACCGGCAUAACCCAAAAAUAGGAUAUCCCCAUGUGGAAUAAGAGCGACAAGUAAUCCGGUUCAUACAUACAAAAAAUUUGAACCGGACACUAAAACACCUGAACCGGACACUAAAACACCUGAACCGGACACUAAAACACCUGAACCGGGACGGGAUAUGAAGGGUCUAUCCACUGAAUAGCUUAUACUGC